UGGAUGUCCACUUGUCAAGCAACUUGACUGC
rnacentral:piRNA from 1 species